rnacentral:rRNA from 1 species
UACAGAGGACGCAAGUGUUAUCCGGAUUCAUUGGGUUUAAAGGGUGCGUAGGCGGACUUGUAAGUCAGUGGUGAAAUCUCUUCGCUUAACGAAGAAACUGCCAUUGAUACUGCAGGUCUAGAGUAUAGAUGACGUUGGCGGAAUAUGACAUGUAGUGGUGAAAUACUUAGAUAUGUCAUAGAACACCGAUUGCGAAGGCAGCUAACGAAACUAUAACUGACGCUGAGGCACGAAAGUGCGGGGAUCAAACAGG